rnacentral:lncRNA from 1 species
UUUUAAUUUGCCGCCUCUCUCUCUGUACCUAGGCUAUGCCUCAUCGCCUCCCUCAUCUAUACACCACUAUACACCACUAGAGCACCAUUUGCUCUAUGAUCAUCUAAAAAAGCGAAACAGAUGAGAGAGUACACGAGUGAGAUCGAGAAGGAGGGUGAUGUAGUGGUGUUGGAGAUCUGUUGGCGGCGAUAUAGGUGAUGCUACGGCGGUAUUAGGACUGCACACCGAUUGUGACCCGGUGGUCUGAAGGUGUGAUUAUUAUUCUUUUUUAUAUUUUUUCUUCUAGUUCAUGUUUCGAAAAAAGAUCGAUAGUGCUAAUGGUACGUUUUUGAUUAUGUAUACUUGAGAUUUGAUUUUCAUAUGCCAAUUUUGUUGAAACGAUUCUGUUUGAAUGAAGAUUAAAUUGGUUCUGUGGAAAUGGAGAACGAUGAAGAGAUUGAUGAGAUCUUCAUCUUUAUCGACACACCGCCAGAAAUUGAGAAUCAGUAUCUCUGAUUAAUUUGGAUCCUAGUAAUUCCAUAUAUUGUAUAUCUUGAUACCAUCAUCAUAAGUGUCGCUCACAACCAGAAGGGAGUGGAAUUAGCAUCUCGACGUUAUAGCUGGAAGACAUUUAUCUUGUUUUAGAAACAUAGUUUACUGGGUUAUAUAAAAUCAUGGAUUCAGGUUGCAGGUGAAGCAGUUGAAGUGGGAAAUUGAUAAUGAAGAACAUCAAGGAUAAUAACUUUAAUUCAUCUACAAAUUUUAAUUUUCAUCCGGUACAUCAUGAGGAUUUGGUCGAUUUUAUCCCCAUACUUGUUCAAUCAUGCAAAAUAGAUUCAUCUUCUUCUUCCUUGCUAAUUUUUCCCUAAUUUUCGAGGUUUUCCCUUACAUGUAUGUAACUAGAAAGUGGAAUGUUUAUGCUUGGAAUGUUUGAGUCCCUAGUUUUUGAGUAAUAAUAAAUUAUUAAAUGUGUAGUUUUCUAGUUUUUUGCCCUAAUUUUUUAGUGACUAUAAAUGAUUCGGUUGUUAGUUUUCCG